rnacentral:rRNA from 1 species
UACGUAGGGUGCAAGCGUUGUCCGGAAUUAUUGGGCGUAAGAAGCUCUGUAGGCGGUCAGUCGCGUCUGCUGUGAAAACUCGGGGCUUAACUCCGGGCCUGCAGUGGGUACGGGCUGACUAGAGUGCGGUAGGGGAGACUGGAAUUCCUGGUGUAGCGGUGAAAUGCGCAGAUAUCAGGAGGAACACCGGUGGCGAAGGCGGGUCUCUGGGCCGUAACUGACGCUGAGGAGCGAAAGCGUGGGGAGCGAACAGG